UACGUAGGGAGCGAGCGUUGUCCGGAUUUAUUGGGCGUAAAGAGCUCGUAGGCGGUUUGGUAAGUCGGGUGUGAAAGCUCCGGGCUCAACUCGGAGAGGUCACUCGAUACUGCCAUGACUGGAGUCCGGUAGGGGGGUGUGGAAUUCCCAGUGUAGCGGUGAAAUGCGCAGAUAUUGGGAGGAACACCAAUGGCGAAGGCAGCACCCUGGGCCGGUACUGACGCUGAGGAGCGAAGGCUAGGGGAGCGAACGGG
rnacentral:rRNA from 1 species